UGGGGGCAAAGAAAUGGAAGCUAUGGUGAGAAAAUCAAUAUCUCGAACAAUAAAAGAAAGAAGCAGAGGACGAGAAAUGGUGGGUAUGUCAUAGAAGACUAGAAGAGAGCGGGAACUCUUGUGGAUCUGCAAUUUUUGUUAUAGGUAAUGGUGUUGUGGGCCUGCAAUUGUGUAGAGAUACUCUAUUGUAGCCGAGCAAAUGAAUGUCU
rnacentral:misc_RNA from 1 species